GCUUAGCCGAGUUCAAUUAAACCGAAUAAAGUGCCUUCACGAUCAUCUCGUAGAUGUAGCAAUCAUAAUGUUUGAUUCAGAAUUACAUAUAGCAACAGACAUGUUGGCACUCUUUGUGGUUAGAGCCUGAAAAAGGGUCCUGGAUUUUUCAUUCAAUCAAGUCUUAGUGUGUUUGUCUCAAAAAUCAUGGGUAGCUAGAAAAAAGGAUAGCGGCACCAGCUGCUUUCCUCAUUAAAAGGCUAUAAAACUUGCCCCAUUGAUGAUUCUGCAUUUUAUAAUCAUCACCUGCAGUACUCCAUCGCUUUAUUAGAGGCAGGAAAAAAGAAGAAUGCUGAUAUCAAAAAGCUUCUCUUGAGAUUUUAAGAAAUUGGGUUGCUACUGUAAAGAGCAGACCUUUUGCUUUUGUAGGACUGCAUGUAGCAUCUCAUUUUAUUGCUGUCAAUUUUCUUUUCCACGAAAAAGAAACAUUACUGUUCAUUUGUAUGACUAAAAUACACUCUUGAAACCUUUUUCUGGCUAAAAUUCAUCUCUAGUUUGUUUCAGCGGUAAAAGAUCAAGAAUCUGGUAUCUUGAAACACAAUUUGCUCGCAUUCAUCAGCAAACAACAGGACCGUAUGAUCAUAGAUUCCUGAUCAAGCCCUGUCUUGGUUUAAGAGCUGCCCUCCUUUCUCUUGAGGCAUUCUGUCUCUUGCUGCUGAUCCUGUAUUGUGAUAGUUUAGAGCCUGGAUUUGGACACCGAAGCACUCAAUGUUCCAUUAGAAGGUGCAUUGGACUUCUGGUGCACCCUAAUCCCAUCACCAUACACGUAUUCAAAUCCCACAUUUUGAUCGAUCAUCGGCAUCCCAGAUUCCUAUGCUGUACUGUCGUGAAUGAACUGUGUCCUACGAUUCUCCCAUCAUUCAACAAUUGACAGACUUGAAGGGGAAUCUUGUCCAUCCAAAUUCUACUUGAAUUAUAGUUAUAAGGCUCAACAUGACCCAGUAGGUCCAUCCAAUGAUCCAUUAAUUUAGGAUUUGGCUUGGACCAAACUCGUAGAAAAACCCUCUCUUUUUUUAAUGUAGAAGGUUAAGUUGACUCUAAUAAAUUUAGGAUGAACUCUUUUACGUUGCCAUCCAGAUCUUGAAUCCAGUAGGUUUUUAACAAUGAUUCUAAUUAUUAGAACAGCACUAAAGUUUCUUUUUUUUUAAAAAAAAGGAAAAAAACUGUGUCAUAGUUUAUAUAGUUGGUUGUGGUGCCGAUUCUUAGAAUGCACCAAAACAAGCUUGGUUGAGGUUUAUUAUUAUCCUGUCCUGCUAUUCUCUUGUAAAUUAGCUUAACUCAAAAAUUUAUUUUUGAAUUAGGUUUUAUAUUUAAUCGGGUUGAAAAUUGAUCUAAUUAAACUGAAACAAGACCAAUUUGAAUUUAUGUUUUUCAAAAUCAUAAUUGUUUUAAUUAUUUUAGAUUGAUUUGAAUGUAGAUUAAUUCGCUAAAUCGAGGACACGAAACUUAAACUAAGUUAUAGGCGACCAGGCUAGAUUUUAUAACUAUUCUAGAAAAAGGGCAAUUCGCAUCACAUGACACUUUCUUUCUGUUAGCAUGGAUACGAUUUUAUAUCUAUUUUUAGCCUUCUUGGACCGAUUGACCAUAGCACCCCAUCUGGUUUUCGCAAAAUAGCUAAAAGGGGGGGAGGGUUGGCAAGGGCCACCUGCUCUGUCUUCUCUUCCACCAUGAAAAAGGGACCUCACGACGGAGUUCUUGAGGAGGAGCGAUACUUGACCAGUGGGUCAAAGCUGAAAGCCCCAUUCAUCUGUAAAUUGAUUGGAUUUGGCCCCGUUUAUCUGGGCACUAGAGAAGAGAAGCUGCUUAAGGUAUACAAACUCCUCAGUCCCUUGAAUCCACAAACGAAUGUUAGGCCAGGAAGCACCGUUGUGUAGGGUUUUGGUGGCUGUUUCGAGAAUUUUAACCUCGACCCCGAUGCCCGUUUUGUCAGGGGAGCCAGAACUCUUAGUUUUAAAAGAAAUCACACAGCAUCAAGAUAUUUUUUAAAAAAAAAAAUUAGCAUUGUUUAAAAUAAAAUUUACAGAUUAACACAGUUUAUAAUUUUUUUUUAAUGGUAGUUGUCGCUAGUUAGAAACAUUACAUUGCAAAAAAUAAAAAUCAUAUAACAAAUUACAAUAAAGAAAAAUAAGAGAAAAAAACAAAAAUAAACUAUAGAGGAAUACAAAAUUCUAGUGAUAACACCACUAAUAUCAUCUAAAAAAUUUAAUUGCUUUAAGUAAGGUCAUUAUCAAUGACGGAAAUGGAUCAUACUCUUUGUUUAAAGGCAAAUAAAGAAUUAUGAUAAGUAGAGAAAAGCAAAAAAAAAAAAUCUUUGAAAACACAUGAAAGUUUCAGUACAACACCUUUUAUAUUUUAGAAAAAUCUUUACAUGAAAAAUUUAAUAAUAUCAAGAAAUGUCACUAAUUACUAUCAAAGUGAAUUAUACACACUGCUCAAUAAAAAGUGAGCCACUCGGAGAUUAUAGACCACUCUGAGCAUCGUUAGAUAUUUUUUUUUUUGUUAUUGAAUUUAUGUUGUUGGAAUUUUUCUAAUAAUAAUAAUAUUAUCGUAGUUAAAGUUUUAGUGUGUUAUUAAAUUUGUCUUGUUAAGAUUUUUUUAAAUAAUCCUAGUAUUAUUUAGUUAAAAUUUCAUUGUAUCUCUAUAUUUUUUUUCUUUCUUUCUUCUCUUCAUUAUUAUUUGUGCCAUAUCUUUUGAAACUUUUUUUGAAAUGUCGCAUUUGCAAGUAACAACGACUUUAAAACUUGUGUUUUUCUGUGUAGAAGCUUUGUUAUUUCUUCAAAAAAAUAAUUUGAAUUAUGUUAUUUUAUUUUAUUUAUUUAUUGAAAUAGUGUUGAUAAAAAAUUAAAACUCAGCAUCAAUAAUAAACCAGAGAGAGAGAGAGAGGGAUGCGUUAAAAAAUAAUUACUUUGCUUAAGUCGUGAAUCCCAACAUGGAGAAAGGGUAAUAGUGGAAUCUUGGAAAAUAAUAAAGAGGAGGCAUGGAAAAGGAAGAGAGAGGACAGAGAUUUCUUGCGCAAAUCUAGCUCAUCUGGGCUUCUGGUACAAGCAAGUGAAGUGAAGUAAAUGGGAGUUUGAAGGCAAACGAGUGCAUACCGCAUCCUACAAUCAAGAAUCCCAUGUUCAAUGCCGUAUAAAAAACACACCACUCUCUUCACUUCUUGCCCGCAUUUUACUUGGCCUCAUUAUGUUUUAGGCAAGGCUCUCACUAUUGCAGCCAGUAAGUGGAUGUGCUCACAAGCCAAAGCCCCCAUGUCCUCAGCUUCUUUGCAUCAUCGUUUCCAUCCCCUCCAUCUUCUUAAGAUAGGACAAGGGAACCCAUCAAGGGCUUAUCUCAGAGGAAAUAAGAAAUUAGCAGAGAAAACGUACAGACAUCCAAUCCCAAGUCUAUUGGUGGAGUUUUAAGUAUCAAACCUUCGCUCAUUGGUUUUGCGCUUCAUGUAAUGAUAGGGUUCUCCUGCCGCUGCUGCUGGAACAUGGUGAGAGAUGUGGGUGCUGUUACUUGGGGCAUUGAGGCAUGUGUGGCCUUUGUCAUGAGAAUAUUUGUCAAGCAAAUCGGAGUUUUAGGCUUGAGUGGCGGCAGGUCUGGAUACACAAGAAACCACAUUUCUUUUAUCCAAUCAUUGCAAAAAGCUCACUUCUUCUUCUUCCUCUUCUUCUGCUUCCUUGGCUUCUGGUAAAUGCUGGUGGGGCAUGGUGGUGAUAUUGGCUAGACGGCUCAAUCUCUUUAUUAUGAUAUAGGACUACUUACUAAUCUUUUGCUUUCACUUUUGUUACUAGCUUUCCUAUUUUUUUCCCUUUCCUUUCCUUGUUUUUUUUUUUUGGGCUGAUAGUUUUGUUGAUAUGUAAUUGGCAUCCAAAUGUUCAUGUGGAAGUGCAACAAAAGGUUGGCAUGGCAUCUUUGAUUCUUGUUUCUUUCAAGUAAUACUAAUUAACUUGCUGUUUGGUGCUCUAGUUUUGUGCCUUGACUCCUGUUCAAGCAUAGAACCAAUUUACCCCAUAGAGAAAGUCAGGAAGAGGUAGAGGAUUUAAUUGCAGCGAAUGGGGGCACCUACCUUCUAUGUAGUUCGGUGAGUAAAAGCUUUAAAAUAUUGGGGUCCCCUAAAGCGUACAGACUUCAAUGUUUCAGCUCUGUUUCACUGUCAGUCUUUGCUUCUGUCCCUUUUGUUAAUUAAUUUUUCUUGGGAAAUGUAGGGGCUUGAUAGUUGAUAGUAUGUGCUCAAAUCCUCAAGGAAUUAUUAUGUCACCUUCAUCCAUAUCAAUUAUGUAUUGAGAUUUUUUCAUGAAA